rnacentral:misc_RNA from 1 species
GAUGAAGAACGUAGCGAAAUGCGAUAAGUAGUGUGAAUUGCAGAAUUCAGUGAAUCAUCGAAUCUUUGAACGCACAUUGCGCCCCUUGGUAUUCCAUGGGGCAUGCCUGUUCGAGCGUCAUUUGUACCCUCAAGCUCAGCUUGGUGUUGGGGCCUGCUGCACUGGCAGCCCUUAAAAUCAGUGGCGGCGCCAUCUGGCUCUAAGCGUAGUAAUUCUUCUCGCUAUGGAGUCCUGGUGGAUGCUUGCCAUCAACCCCCAAUUUUUCUAUGAUUGACCUCGGAUCAGGUAGGGAUACCCGCUGAACUUAAGCAUAUCAAUAAGCGGAGGA